AAAAAGACAAACCCUGAGUUUCCGUGCCAACGUUUGACUCUCCGUGUUAUAUGAAAUUUUUUUAUAAUUAGUAUUUUCAUUGUUGUUAGAUGAUAAAACAUAAUUAAUACUUUAUGCGUGACUUAUCUUUUUAAUUUUUUUAAAUAAGACGGAUGGUUAAACAUUGGACACGGAAACUAUGGUUUGUCUUUUU
rfam:Oryza meridionalis cultivar OR44 (W2112) chromosome 9, whole genome shotgun sequence.